rnacentral:rRNA from 1 species
AACGAACGUUAGCGGCGCGCCUAACACAUGCAAGUCGAACGCGACAGGGGCAACUCUGUUGAGUGGCGCACGGGUGAGUAACACGUAGGUAAUCUCCCCCCGAGUGGUGGAUAACCUUCCGAAAGGAGGGCUAAUACAGCAUAAGACCACGGCUUCGAAAGGAGCUGAGGUCAAAGCGGAGGAUCGCAAGACUUCGCGCUUGGGGAUGAGCCGGCGGCCCAUCAGGUAGUUGGAGGGGUAACAGCCCACCAAGCCUAAGGCGGGUAGCUGGUCUGAGAGGAUGAUCAGCCACACUGGAACUAAGACACGGUCCAGACUCCUACGGGAGGCAGCAGUGGGGAAUCUUGCGCAAUGGACGAAAGUCUGACGCAGCGACGCCGCGUGGGUGAUGAAGGCCUUCGGGUUGUAAAGCCCUGUGGGGAGGGACGAAUAAGUUUCAGCUAAUACCUGAAGCGAUGACGGUACCUCCUUAGCAAGCACCGGCUAACUCUGUGCCAGCCGCCGCAGUAA